AACGAACGCUGGCGGCAGGCUUAACACAUGCAAGUCGAGCGCCCCGCAAGGGGAGCGGCAGACGGGUGAGUAACGCGUGGGAAUCUACCCAUCUCUACGGAAUAACGCAUGGAAACGUGUGCUAAUACCGUAUACGUCCUUCGGGAGAAAGAUUUAUCGGAGAUGGAUGAGCCCGCGUUGGAUUAGCUAGUUGGUGGGGUAAAGGACGACCAAGUCGACGAUCCAUAGCUGGUCUGAGAGGAUGAUCAGCCACACGGGGACGGAGACACGGCCCAGACUCCUACGGGAGGCAGCAGUGGGGAAUAUUGGACAAUGAGGGCAGGCCUGAUCCAGCCAUGCCGCGUGAGUGAUGAAGGCCCUAGGGUUGUAAAGCUCUUUCACCGGUGAAGAUAAAGACGGUAACCGGAGAAGAAGCCCCGGCUAACUUCGUGCCAGCAGCCGCGGUAAUAC
rnacentral:rRNA from 1 species